CACCACCAGCGGCUUGCAGAGAGCAGAGCCGGCGGGAGCUGCUCCCCGUGCCGAGGGACCAGCGGCACCGGCGGCCAGCAAGGAGGGCGGGCAGGCAGCCCCGGUGGCCAAGCCACCUCCGGAUGGAGGUGCACAGCGGGAGGAACGGGAGCGGGAGGAGGAGCGGCAGCGCAAGCAGCAGGAGCACGUGCUGCAGCUGGAGCGGGAGCGCGUGGAGCUGGAGAAGCUGCGGCAGCUGCGGCUGCAGGAGGAGCUGGAGCGGGAGCGCGCGGAGCUGCAGCGGCACCGGGAGAAGGAGCAGCUGCUGGUGCAGCGGGAGCUGCAGGAGCUGCAGUGCAUCAAGCAGCAGGUGCUGCAGCAGCAGCAGGAGGAGCGGCACGCGCAGCUGGCGCUGCAGCGGGAGCAGCUGGCCCAGCAGCGCCUGCAGCUGGAGCACAUCCACCAGCUCCAGCACCAGCUGCAGCAGCAGAUCGAGGAGCAGAAGAGGCAGAAGAGUGUGUUCCCUGCGCCCGCCGAGCCCAGCGCCCGCCCGCCCGAGGGCACUGCCGAGGGGCCGCGGGCUCUGCCGCAGCACAACGGGCACCCAUGGCCGCCACCCGGCCAGGCUCCGCUGGAUGGCCCUGCCGGGCCCCGUUAUCCCGCACCACAGCGGCCACUCAGCAGCUCAGCCUCGGACAUGUCCCUGCAAGCUGAGGAUUCCUGGGAGCCCGGACGGGGCAUCAAGAAGAGGAACUCGAUGCCACGGCUGCGGGAUGCCUAUGAGAAGGAAGCCUCGCGGGAAGCCUUUGCCGGGAGGAAGACUGCGGACAGCAGUGUGCAGACGGACGAGGAGGACAGCGAGGAGCGGUACCUGCUGUCCCGGCGGCGGCGGGCACGGCGCAGCACCGACUGCAGCGUGCAGACGGAUGAGGAGGACAGCGGGGAGUGGGAGCAGCCCGUGCGCCGACGGCGCUCGCGGCCCUCGCGGCACACGGAGGCCGGUUCCGAGGGCAAGGCGGAGGGCACAGCCCGCGGUACGGCCAGCGUGGGCAUCCAGACCAUCAGCGACUGCUCGGUGCAGACAGAGCCCGACCAGCUCCUCCGCGUCUCCCCCU
rnacentral:lncRNA from 14 species